AAAUUCACAUGUUCAGAACAUUUCAGGGCAGGUGCUUUUCCUAAGCCAGAACUCAGUCCUGGGAGGUUGUACCCCAGGAUUUACAAUCUCCCUAAUGUUUCACCUGUUGCACUAUCACUGGAGGGCAAGGAUUUCACAGCCCUGGGCGGCCUGGCUUCUCUGGACCCAACUUGACAGCUUUGCUUCACACCCGUUGCAAUUCAUACAGCUUGAACGAAGGCUCAGACAAGCACUCUGGUCUGGCUGCUCAUCGCUGCAUUUCACUUGGCAUGUAGGCUAUGGACGAGGAAUGCACAGAAUUUCCUUUUCCACCCCAUCAGAUCCUCUGUCUUGAGCCUGGCCUGGCCCCAAGAGCACAACGGAUGCAGCUGGAGAAGGGCAGGUCCAAUCUUGCUGCCGAGCUCCAGUGACACUUAACCUCCUCUGCUGGGUGAUCUGCUUGCAGCUGGAGGUGGAUGCUGACGAGGCUGAUGAGCAUCAGCCUGCCGAAUUGUUAGCGAAGGGAGCAGAGCUUAUUUAUUCGGCUGGAGGAGGUAGUAGAGGCUAGGGCUCUCAUGAGAGGAGGUGACCUUGAAUAUCAGUGAAGGUGGUCUUUGAUUUUGCAUCGUGGUUUCUGCAUUGGUGCUCCUGAGCAGCCUGUUGAGAGCAGGAUGAUCUCCGACUUCCUGAGGGGAGGCCAGUGCUGGGGUGGAAGAACGCAGCUGCCUCGCCGGCACCGAGCAGCUCUAUGAGUUCGGGAGAGAUGCGAAGAAACCUCCUGCAUCCCAAAAAAAACACACAGGAGAGGAAGGGGGAAGCACAUUUGCCUGCCAGGAGUCGCUCGGAAGUUACUGGGUCCGUUCCUGCUGCCACCAUGGGGAGCGUGCAGCAGGCUGCGGUGACCCCCAGCAGGGCUUCGAAGGUCCGAGGCUUGCGGAGGCCAAUUAUGGGAUGUUAAAUAAAAUGCCAGGCAAUCGAUGAAAAAUGUACAUUUAUUGAGAUGUAACAGUCAAUCACACGGCUGUUAAAGAGCUAUAACUGGGUAUUAAAUAAUCAGUUCAGCUGGUAUUUAUUUAAUAUAAUCGCAGCCUAUUAAACCUGAAUUAAGUACAGAGUUAAGUGUCUCUGGGACACACAGCUGAAAGUGCUGCCAGGAACAUUUUAUGUUGCCUGAAACCCUUUGUGGAAAACUCCCACAAACAUGAUCUCUGCAAACUUGUCCUUCGUUUGACGGGGGAAACCUAAUAGGAGAUUUUUAAUUUUUGACCUGACCUGUGGCAGAGUUAUCUAGCAACUUUUACCUAGACCAAGACUUGAUGCAGAUGCAUGAUUUCUAUAGAUCAAAAAUACUUGACCGACUUUUUGGAGCUGCUCCCUUACAGAUUUGGUAUGGCUUAUUUUGCUUCACUUGCACAUCUUUGCUCCCCUGAUUCUCUGAUACUGACGCAGUUACUCGCACCAGCACCAAGUGAGUCCAAAAUAAAUGUAAAAUGCUGCUAAGUCAACAUGGAAUCUGCUCUGACCUGGCUGGGCUCACAACCUGGAGACGUGAAUAUGGAGAAACCCUCACACUGGAAAUGCAAGGAUGAACAAAGCAGAGCACACGAAGAUGAGUGAUGAUCACAGGUCUGUUUACAAGGCGCUGUAUGCCCGAGUUAGUGCUCUCAGAGCCACAGUUUGGUGCAAAAUUCCCAAGAGGGGUUUUAUCUGAGAGUGUAUGUUCCCUGUGAACAAGCUCUCUUGUUCACCAUCGCUUGUGUUUAGGAGGCCUGGGGAUCCCCAGGACACUUCCACAUCACCGUCGCAGCAUCCCCAGGCAGGACACAAGUGGGUCGUGUGUGACUGAUCAGUGGCAGUGUGAUGCCCAUGCUGGUGGGACGUCUGGCAUCUGGAGCCACAGGACAAAGUACCAGUUGGGAGACUGCUCAUAAAGGCAGUGGUAGGCUUCAGGCAUACCGUGGUUGAUCUCAAUACACGAGCAGAAUAUUUUCAGGCUUAAAUAGCAGAGUGAUGAGAAGGUCAGUCCCAACAAGAAUCACUAGGUGUCGAAUACCCUGGGCAUAAAUUAGUAUCAUCAGUUCAAACAUCUCGAAAAUUAGAAGUAAAUUACUUCAGACACUUGGGACAGAUGGCAUCCGCACACCAGGCAGAGCCAGAAAACCCAGCUGUCAGAGCAUCGCCAGACCCUCCCUCUCCUGUGAGCUGGAUCCCAGCAGUGACAUGGUGGGCUUGGUGCUGAUGUGUAUUCCCUGAACCUCCCCAAGCAACAGAAGAGAGAGGGGGAAGAGAAAGUAAUUUGUGCCUGAGAACGGACGAUUUCUCUGGACCUACUCUUUCAGCUUCAUCCAGAGCACAAGCAGCAAAGAGAAAAACUUGUUCACUAACCCAGUCUCCUGCUAAGUCCUCCUACGGUGAUAUAAAUAUGGCUGGAAAAUGUCUGUACUGUUUAUUACUUUGAAGUCAAAUGUGCACCAGCUAUUUUCAGAAACAUGGGAGAAGUAAUGCCUUCUGGCUGGCUUGGAGUUGCUAGGUCAUCUGACAAAUUUCCCUUUCCCUGUCCCCCUGCUUUUAUAUACACAUGGAAAUGCAGACAUGGGUAUUUUAAUGUAUAUAUUAAAAGUAGACCGAAAGUUCACGUGCUGUUUGGAGAUGUGUGGCACAGAAAUAAAUCACAGCGGGGAGAAAGGAAGGCACAAGUGCCGUUCCCUGGCAGCCUUGGUUUGCUUGGGGCUGCACAACAGAGCGAGGCACAGCUCCUGCCCCACAGCCUGAACAGGCAGGCAGGUGGAUGUGGGUCAAACCCAAUGGGCAAAAUGACCAUCCAUAAUUUUUCUGGGGGUUUGACAGCGUUUUUAAGGUGUAUUUAGGGAGUAGCUUGA